rnacentral:lncRNA from 1 species
AUAGACCAGCCCUUAUUUUAUUUUUGUUUUCAUUAUUUGAAAGUAUUUUUCUAUUGUUUCCCCUGCAUUUUCUUGGCUCAAGAUCAUCAAUAAUCUUAAUAUUUUUACUUAAUUUUAUCGGAGUUGUCCCUUAUCAGGUACCUCCCUUGGUACAUUCAAUUCACAGCCUUAUAAGGGUGUUUGAAGGGUUAUCAUGGCUAAUAUUUUCCUACCAUUGAUGCAAAAGCAGCAGGAUUUGGGAAACUAGAUAAAUGCUUAAAGCAAGAAGGAGAAAGCAAGAUCUAGGCCUAACAGUUUGUGUGUAGAGUAGUAUGGUGAUACCUGCUGUCUACUAACCUUCUGACACUUUUCUCCUCUCUAUGUACCCAUCUUACAAUGGAGAGAGGGAAACAUGCUUCUAGUCUUGACAGCACCUUCCUCACCUCUGAGGAUGGCUUGAUGCAGUAGGACCACUGCAAUCCCAACCAAUAAUAACUCACUAACCAAGCUCAGCAAGACCCACAUCCAAACACACCACUGUCUGAUGUGCUUCAAAGUGCAAAUGUAGGAAACAACUUUUCAGCCAAUAAGUUUGCUGUUAUAACUAUUCAUUUGGAAACAAGAAGGAAAAAGAACAAUAUUUAAUUAAAAGUUCAGAUUUGUUUUGGAUACCAAAUCAAAAACUAGGAUGUCUCAGAUUUUACAAGUGCUCCUUCAGUCACAGAGAUACACCAUGUGGAAUUUGCAGUACUUUGUACUGCAGAGUAGGUUGUAAUCGGACAGGUAACCCCUGCUAUAUCAUGAGAUUUCAUCUGCAAGAAAAGGAGCAAUUAUUCUCCAGCUUCCCUGCUCAACUUUCAGGAGAUUUUGGCCCAUGUGCUGCUACAGAAAGAUUGAAGAAGACAAAGUACAUUUAAGUAAAUUCUGAUCUUUAUCCCCUAAGUAUAUAUGAGUAUAUGGUAACCAGUAAUGAUUUAUACUAACACAGCUUCAUCUGAAUUCCAGAACAUUUUCUAAGCAAUGCUCCAUCAAUCCUCCAAGCAGCCUUUAACAUAGAUAGGAAAAUGAACAUAUUUUCUAUGACUCAUAAACAAUAUGGAUGCACUGAAUAAAUCCA